rfam:Clostridium sp. CAG:356 genomic scaffold, scf49
CAAACCCUGCAUAGUACGUGUAGCACAGAAUUUUUAGAACCUACAAGUUUAAAGAGGGGCCAAAACUUUGAGUAUGGCGUGCAAGCUUACACUUUCGAGUAGUAAGAAGCCCAGGAAUAUUCAAGCAGGCACCCACCUGUCGAAGACAGGUCCUUAAAAAUUCAGACAACUUACGGCUAAGGCGGGGAUUGU